GUGGGGAAUAUUGCACAAUGGGCGAAAGCCUGAUGCAGCGACGCCGCGUGAAGGAUGAAGUAUUUCGGUAUGUAAACUUCUAUCAGCAGGGAAGAAAAUGACGGUACCUGACUAAGAAGCCCCGGCUAACUACGUGCCAGCAGCCGCGGUAAUACGUAGGGGGCAAGCGUUAUCCGGAUUUACUGGGUGUAAAGGGAGCGUAGACGGCUGUGCAAGUCUGAAGUGAAAGGCAUGGGCUCAACCUGUGGACUGCUUUGGAAACUGUGCAGCUAGAGUGUCGGAGAGGUAAGUGGAAUUCCUAGUGUAGCGGUGAAAUGCGUAGAUAUUAGGAGGAACACCAGUGGCGAAGGCGGCUUACUGGACGAUGACUGACGUUGAGGCUCGAAAGCGUGGGGAGCAAACAGGAUUAGAAACCCCUGUAGUCC
rnacentral:rRNA from 1 species